rnacentral:rRNA from 1 species
UGGUAAUUUCUUGAGCUAAUACAUGCGCAAGAGCUGCGUCCUCGCGGGCGCAGUGCAUUUAUUAGAGGAAAACCAGGCGGCCUCGGCCGUGUCGUGUUGACUCAGAGUAACUAAGCUGAUCGCAGGGUCUUGUACCGGCGACGUGUCUUUCAAGUAUUUGCCUUAUCAACUUUCGAUGGUAGUGUAUCUGACUACCAUGGUGGUGACGGGUAACGGAGGAUCAGGGUUUGACUCCGGAGAAAGGGCCUGAGAAAUGGCCCCUACGUUUAAGGAUGGCAGCAGGCGCGCAAAUUACCCCCUCUUGGCGCGAGGAGGUAGUGACGAGAAAUAACAAAGGCCUUCUUUAAGAGGCCGCCCAUUGGAAUGGGUACAACCUAAACCCUUUAACGAGUAUCUAUGAGAGGGCAAGUCUGGUGCCAGCAGCCGCGGUAAUUCCAGCUCUCAAAAUGCAUAGAAUUAUUGCUGCGGUUAAAAAGCUCGUAGUUGGAUCUGUGCCCGCGCGCCGGUCCACCCAGCCGGGUGCGCACUGGUUGUGCGGGCUUCGUGCCGGUUCGACCGUGGGGCGCAAGCUUUGCGGAUGGCUGGCGAGUUUACUUUGAACAAAUCAGAGUGCUCAACACAGGCGUCUCGCCUGAAUGUUCGUGCAUGGAAUAAUGGAAGAGGAUCACGGUCCUAUUUUAUUGGUUUUGCGGACUGAGGUAAUGGUUAACAGAGACAAACGGGGGCAUUCGUACCGCUGCGUGAGAGGUGAAAUUCUUGGACCGCAGCGAGACGCACGACAGCGAAAGCAUUUGCCAAGCAUGUCUUCAUUAAUCAAGACCGAAAGUCAAAGGUUCGAAGGCGAUCCAGAUACCGCCCUAGUUCUGACCGUAAACGAUGCCAACUAGCGAUCCGUCCGGCGGAUUUCUCGCCCUGGUGGGGAGCUUCCCGGAAACGAAAGUCUUCCGGUUCCGGGGGAAGUAUGGUUGCAAAGCUGAAACUUAAAGGAAUUGACGGAAGGGCACCACCAGGAGUGGAGCCUGCGGCUUUAAUUUGACUCAACACGGGGAAACUCACCCGGGCCGGACACCGCGAGGAUUGACAGAUCGAGAGCUCUUUCUUGAUUCGGUGGAUGGUGGUGCAUGGCCGUUCUUAGUUCGUGGAGCGAUCAGUCUGGUUUAUUCCGAUAACGAGCGAGACUCUAGCCUGCUAAAUAGUGGAGGCAUUGCCUCGUGCCCACCACUUCUUAUAGGGAUUGGCGGCUCCCAGCCGCACGAAACUGAGCAAUAACAGGUCUGUGAUGCCCUUAGAUGUCCGGGGCUGCACGCGCGCUACACUGGCGAAGGCAGCGUGCCUGUCCUGCCGCGAAGGCGGUGGGUAAACCAUUGAAAAUUCGCCGUGAUUGGGAUCGGAGAUUGCAAUUAUUCUCCGUGAACGAGGAAUUCCAAGUAAGUGCGAGUCAUCAGCUCGCGUUGAUUACGUCCCUGCCCUUUGUACACACCGCCCGUCGCUGCCCCGGGACUGAGCCAUUUCGAGAAAUUUGGGGAUCGAUUGACGGGCCGCCCGCAAGGGCACUCCCCGCUGCCAACCAACUUAAUCUCAGUGGGUUGAAACCGGGCAAAAGUCGUAACAAGGUAGCAA